rnacentral:rRNA from 1 species
CGCUGGCGGCGUGCUUAACACAUGCAAGUCGAACGGAAAGGCCCUGCUUUUGUGGGGUGCUCGAGUGGCGAACGGGUGAGUAACACGUGAGUAACCUGCCCUUGACUUUGGGAUAACUUCAGGAAACUGGGGCUAAUACCGGAUAGGAGCUCCUGCUGCAUGGUGGGGGUUGGAAAGUUUCGGCGGUUGGGGAUGGACUCGCGGCUUAUCAGCUUGUUGGUGGGGUAGUGGCUUACCAAGGCUUUGACGGGUAGCCGGCCUGAGAGGGUGACCGGCCACAUUGGGACUGAGAUACGGCCCAGACUCCUACGGGAGGCAGCAGUGGGGAAUAUUGCACAAUGGGCGGAAGCCUGAUGCAGCAACGCCGCGUGCGGGAUGACGGCCUUCGGGUUGUAAACCGCUUUCGCCUGUGACGAAGCGUGAGUGACGGUAAUGGGUAAAGAAGCACCGGCUAACUACGUGCCAGCAGCCGCGGUGAUACGUAGGGUGCGAGCGUUGUCCGGAUUUAUUGGGCGUAAAUGGCUCGUAGGUGGUUGAUCGCGUCGGAAGUGUAAUCUUGGGGCUUAACCCUGAGCGUGCUUUCGAUACGGGUUGACUUGAGGAAGGUAGGGGAGAAUGGAAUUCCUGGUGGAGCGGUGGAAUGCGCAGAUAUCAGGAGGAACACCAGUGGCGAAGGCGGUUCUCUGGGCCUUUCCUGACGCUGAGGAGCGAAAGCGUGGGGAGCGAACAGGCUUAGAUACCCUGGUAGUCCACGCUGUAAACGGUGGGUACUAGGUGUGGGGUCCAUUCCACGGGUUCCGUGCCGUAGCUAACGCUUUAAGUACCCCGCCUGGGGAGUACGGCCGCAAGGCUAAAACUCAAAGGAAUUGACGGGGCCCCGCACAAGCGGCGGAGCAUGCGGAUUAAUUCGAUGCAACGCGUAGAACCUUACCUGGGUUUGACAUGGAUCGGGAGUGCUCAGAGAUGGGUGUGCCUCUUUUGGGGUCGGUUCACAGGUGGUGCAUGGCUGUCGUCAGCUCGUGUCGUGAGAUGUUGGGUUAAGUCCCGCAACGAGCGCAACCCUUGUUCACUGUUGCCAGCACGUUAUGGUGGGGACUCAGUGGAGACCGCCGGGGUCAACUCGGAGGAAGGUGGGGAUGACGUCAAGUCAUCAUGCCCCUUAUGUCCAGGGCUUCACGCAUGCUACAAUGGCUGGUACAGAGAGUGGCGAGCCUGUGAGGGUGAGCGAAUCUCGGAAAGCCGGUCUCAGUUCGGAUUGGGGUCUGCAACUCGACCUCAUGAAGUCGGAGUCGCUAGUAAUCGCAGAUCAGCAACGCUGCGGUGAAUACGUUCCCGGGGCUUGUACACACCGCCCGUCAAGUCAUGAAAGUUGGUAACACCCGAAGCCGGUGGCCUAACCGUUGUGGGGGAGCCGUCGAAGGUGGGACUGGUGAUUAGGA